CAGUGAGCCAAGAUCUUGCCACUGUACUCCAGCCUGAGCGACAGAGCAAGACUCCAUCUCAAAAAAAAAAAAAAAAAGUUCUUUAUUGCCUUCAGCUGUCAGGGCUUCAUGACUUCCAUUCUAUAGAAUUUAAACAAAAUCCUCUGUUUCUCAAUGGCAGCACAGCUGGCAUUUGAGAUCAGACCAUUCUUUGUCAUGGAGCAGGGAUGUCCUGUGCAGUGUAAGGUGUUUCACAGCAUCUCCAGCCUCUAUUCACUAGAUGUCAGUAGCGCUCCUGCCAGGCCUUCCACCACCACUCAUUGCGGUGUCUCCAGACAUUGCCAAAUGUUCCCUAGAUGUAGGGUUGCCAGGUAAAAUAUUGCAUGGGACAAACAUACUAAAAAUAUUAUCGAUUGUUUAUCUGAAAUGCAAAUUUAAGUUGGCCUUCCAUAUCUUUAUUUGCUAAAUCUGGCAACCCUAUCUGAGAGGUGAAAAACCCUAUCUGAGAGGUAAAAUCACCACUACAUCUCCUACCUCCCAUCCCAUUUGAAAACCAAUGCUCUAGUCCACAGGGAGCAAUGGAGAAAAAGUGUGGUAAUGGGUUUGGGAAAUGUUAUGAUUAGAUUUGCAUUUGGAGCAAAGCACUUUUUGUUUGUUUGUUUUGUGUUGUGUUGUUUUGUUUGAGACGCAGUCUCACUCUGUUGCCCAGGCUGGAGUGCAGUGGCACGAUCUCAGCUCACUGCAACCUCCGCCUCUGGGGUUCAAGUGAUUCUCCUACCUCAGCCUCCCGAGUAGCUGGGAUGACAGGCACCCACCACCACACCCAGCUAAUUUUUGUAUUUUUAGUACAGACGGGGUUUCACCAUGUUGGCCAGGAUGUUCUCGAUCUCUUGACCUCGUGAUCCACCCGCCUCGACCUCCCAAAGUGCUGGGAUUACAGGCAUGAGCCACCGCACCCAGCCUGGAGCAAAAAAACUAUAAGACGUCCAAGCCCUCUUCACCAGCCAGGACUGCUGUAGUCAACAUCCUGUUUGAGACCUGAUUGGAAUGCCUGGCUCUCUUUUUUUUUUUUUUUUUUUUUGAGAUGUAGUCUCGCUCUGUCACCCAGGCUGGAGUGCAGUGGUGCAAUCUUGGCUCACUGCAACCCCCACCUACUGGGUUCAAGCGAUUCUCCUGCCUCAGCCUCCUGAGUACCUGGGACUACAGGUGCACACCACCACACCUGGCUAAUUUUUGUAUUUGUAGUAGAGAUGGAGUUUCACCAUAUUGGCUAGUCUGGUCUCAAACUCCUGACCUUGUGAUUCGCCUGCCUCGGCCUCCCAAAGUGCUGGGAUUACAGGUGUGAGCCACCACACCUGGCCAUCUCUCCUUUUUAGUAAGCAACUAGAGUUGGGAUUCCAGAUGUGGCCAGGCACAUGCACCUCUGGAGAGACUACCCUGUCUGCUAAAGCUGGAAGAAUAAAAGAAAUGGGUGAUUGUGCUAUCUCCUGUUUCUCUUCUUUAAUAUGUUUAUAUUGAAGGCUUAAUUUAAUUAGCUAAUAAAGGUGCAUUAGGAAGAACUAACAUGAAAUAUUUUCUCUUGUCCUUAAAUCCAGUUCAGGGAUCUCCUAAAAACAGGAACAUACUUGUGUUCUGGGACAGAUGAGACUUGAAAUUCCAAACCCAGAAUGUCUUUGUCUUUAUUUUUCUUUUCUUUUCUUUUUUUUUUUUUUUUUUUGGGUAAAGUUUUGCUCUGUCACCCAGGGUGGAGUACAAUGGCGAGAUCUUGGCUCACUGCAACCUCUGCCUCCCUGGCUCAAGCCAACCUUCCACCUCAGCCUCCUGAGGAGCUGGGACUACAGGCACGCAUUACUUCCUAGCUAAUUUUUGUACUUCUUGUAAAGAUGAAGUUUUGCCAUGUUGCCCAAGCUGGUCUCAAACUCCUGACCUCAGGCAAUCCACCUGCCUCGGCCUCCCAAAGUGCUGGGAUUACAGGCAUGAGCCACCAUCCCUGGCCCAGAAUGUCUUUUUAUUUUUCAAUUUUUUUAUAUCUUUUUGCUAAUCUUCUCUGUAUUGUUCCAAUUUUAGUAUAUGUGUUGCUGAAGUGAACAUUUAUUUUUAUUCAAUGGGUUCUUCCUAGCCACUGUGCAAGCCCAGAAUAUGUGAGGUGGAAUUCACCAGAACCAUAGAAUUCCAGUUUUUCCGUCUCCAAAUAGCCGGGGUUGGAAGAUGGGUUCUCGCCCUGACACCGCAGAGCUCUGUCUCAUCUAUAGAACAAGAGUACAGCCGCCUCCGUUAUCUCCCGACUGCAGCUGCUCUUAACGGUUUCGCUCUUGUUGCCCAGGCUGGAGUGCAGUGGUGUGAACUCAGCUCACCGCAACCUCCGCCUCCCAGGUUCAAGCGAUUCUCCUGCCUCAGCCUCCCGAGGAGCUGGGAUUACAGGCAUGCGCCAUCAUGCCCAGCUAAUGUUUUGUAUGCACCUUUUCUUAACUAUUAUUGAAGGGGUGGCCUGCCCCUCCACACCUGUGGGUGUUCCUCGUUGGGUGGAACGAGAGACUGAGAAAAGAAAGAGACACAGCGACAAAGUAUAGAGAAAGAAAAGUGGGCCCAGGGGACUGGCGCUCAGCAUAAGGAGGACCCGCACCAGCACCAGUCUCUGAGUUCCCUCAGUAUUUAUUGAUCAUUAUCUCUACCAUCUCAGAGAGGGGGACGUGGCAGGACAAUAGGGUAAUAGUGGGGAGAGGGUCAGCAGGAAAACAUGUGAACAAAUGUCUGUGUCAUAAACAAGGUUAAGAAAAGGUGCUGUGCUUUUGACGUGCACAUACAUAAACAUCUCGGUGCAUUAAAAAGCAGUAUUGCCGCCAGCAUGUCUCACCUCCAGCCCUAAGGUGGUUUUCUCCUAUCUCAGUAAAUAGAACAUACAAUCGGGUUUUACACCAAAACAUUCCAUUGCCCAGGGAUAAGCAGAAGACAGAUGCCUUCCUCUUAUCUCAACUGCAAAGAGGCCUUCCUCUUUUACUAAUCCUCCUCAGCACAGACCCUUUGUGGGUGUCGGGCUGGGGGACAGUCAGGUCUUUCCCUUCCCACGAGGCCAUAUCUCAGGCUAUCACAUGGGGAGAAACCUUGGACAAUACCUGGCUUUCCUAGACAGAGGUCCCUGCGGCCUUCCGCAGUGUAUUGUGUCCCUGGGUACUUGAGAUUAGAGAGUGGUGAUGACCUUUAACAAGCAUGCUGCCUUCAAGCACUUGUUUAACAAAGCACAUCCUGCACAGCCCUAAAUCCAUUAAACCGUGAGUCAACACAGCACAUGUCUCUGUGAGCACAGGGUUGGGGGUAGGGUUACAGAUUAACAGCAUCUCAAGGCAGAAGAAUUUUUCUCAGCACAGACCAAAAUGGAGUCUCUUAUGUCUACUUCUUUCUACAUAGACACAGUAACAGUCUGAUCUCUUUUUCUUUUCCCCACAAUUAUAAGAGUAUACAAGGUGGUGAUGAAGAAACCUGGGAUUACGUGCUGUGAAAUGGGGAUAACAGCAAUUCUAACUUCAUAGUUUUCUCAUGGUAAUUAAAUGACACAAAAUCAUGUUAAGUUCCAAGACAAGAGUCUGGUGCAUUUUAAGUGCUCAGUAAAUACUAGCAAUUAUUAAUUGUUGUUAUUUGCCACCAUUCUCCAAGAGUACAAGAAAAUAUUUAUGACUGGACUUAGGGAGCAAACACUCACGUUGACCAUACGGUGAGUAAUAAGAUGCAGUCUUCUUAGCAUCACCAAAGUCAUAGACCACAGGUAUGGCUGGGCCAUUGUCAUUCCAACAUUUCCCUGAUCUGUAUUUCACUGGGUAUUUCUGCAGAGACCCAGAAGAAAGGUUUUGUGAGGACAGUAGAGAUGCUGCCACAGUGUGGGGGGAGGAGGGGUUUCAAAUUAACUGCCAUUACCCAAAACCAAUCCUCAUAAUAGUGACUGCUUUUCCCCAUAGCUGUGUCUCCCCAACAGCCCCAAACCCCUUGUCCCUGUCUCUUUCUCCCCAUGCUUUCCUGUCCCACAGGCCUCUUCCUUGCUGGCUUAGAGUUUCUGAGAGGCCAGACAUGAGUUCACAGUGAAUCAAAGGAAGGAGAAACAGCCAACCACUCAGUAGUGAUGUGGAACCACAGGACAGAUCUGCCCCCUACCCUAGACACUUCGAUCUCUGUUCACCAAAGAAAGUGCCCCCCAGCCAGCAGCCCUGUGUACCUGGUAGAUGCCAAACAGAUUAUGUCCCAGUCUCUGGAGGAAGCCAGUGUUGGUGCGGUACCUCAGCAG
rnacentral:lncRNA from 10 species